CUUUGCAGCUUUGUUCUCAGCUGGAAAAAAAAAAAAAAUAAGACACAAAAUAGACAGCUCCUGAGAUUUUUUUUUUUUUUCUGAUUCUGAGGCGACACUGGCAGAUUUUUAUGCUUCUUUUCUUCUUUGGACUUUCUAAACUUGUCUUCUUCCCGCAUUGGAAGUAUUCUUUAUGUAUAUGAGAAAAAAUAAAUCAUAUAUAUACGAUUUUGCCUUCUCACUCUCUCUUUUCCUCCCUUUUCCAUUCACUAUUAGUGGCCAUACUAGUUCCUGGAAUCAUCUCUUUCUCCUUUUUUUCUUCCUUUUCACGAAGUGAGCAUAAAUCCUGUCUCUUCUUAUGUUUGAUUUUUACUGUUUUUUAUGUCUUUUUUUACUUCAAGUUUAUAAAUUUCUUUAGUUGUGGUGGAAGAGAAUCUGUGAUACUUUCACUCUGCCACCUUUCCUGAAAACCCACUUCAUUGUCACGUGUGGUAUAAGAGUAUGCUGCUCUGUAGGGGCGUUCGUUGGAUUUAAUGGAUAAGGCUGACUAGACAGAGGACAGUUAAACUUUUGUGUGCAGAAGGGGGUCUGUAGAAUUGAGCCCUGGUGAGUGUCACAAUCAAUUCUGUCAAUGAAGUUGCAUUCAUCAUUCAGCUCAUACACUUUUUUAUUGUAUGCAUAAUUUAUGCGCACCUACGAUGAGCCGGGGACCUGCAGAUAGAACAGAAAAAUUAAAGAAACAGAAAGUCUUACCUUAAUGGAGCUUACACUUUAUUGGACGGAAACAGGCUAAAAACAAAAUAAAUAAGUACAGUAUUCUUCCUUUUAGAAGAUGUAAGAACUAUGGAGAAAAAUAAAUCAAGGAAAGUUUAUCGAGCUGGAGGCAGGGGGAGGGGGAGAAAAGAUUUGAGGAAGGGAGUCAUGCAUAUUUCUGGGAGAAAGAACUUUCCAGGCAGAGAGAACAGCAAGAUAACGUUUCGUCCCCAUUUUUUCUUUCACCUUUCUGCUGGAUAUAGCAGAUAAAAGUCCUUUUAAUGGUCUGGGCUGCUCAGAAAAUUGUUUCCAUUCUUCACUUCAGUAUCCAUGUAUAAGAUAGCCGGAAGGGUCUGCCUAUUUUAAAGCAAUUAUUAAUACUUGUAAUAAAAGUUUAGUAUGCCUUUUGGCUCUACGAUAAUGAGUAUGCAUAAAUUAGUAACUGUCAAUAAAUAUAUGUUCUAAUAAAUUUAACUUGGUGCUUGUUCUUCUUAGCACGGAGGUGACUGGUUGGAAACCCAAGCAGAGGGCCUGAGUGUCAUCAGAUAAACAUCUAUGAGUUUCAGAAGAUCUACCAGAUUCUUUCAGAGAAAAGCUUCUUCCCCUUUUCUAUCUGUAUCUUGUUCCCUCUUUUUUUAACGGUCAGAAGGCGGUCUGGAUUUUCAUUGUGAUUCCCUCUUUAGUAUCUGCGUUAAUCUAUAUGAUCUAAAAGGAAACAAAUGUCUGCUUCCCUGAGCUGGUUGGUUUUAUCAGGUGAUUUCAAUCUGAAAGCAAAUUGUUCUCUGGAGAAUAUAUGCUUAUUGCUGGUGUUUUUUGAGAAAGGAUUUAGCAAAUAGCUUUCAACAUACGCCUUGUUCUAGUUAAAAAAAAAAAAUAAGACAACAGUAUUUGGGAUUUAGAACAAUGAUCUAAAAAUAGCUGAGAGACUACUCCCAUUUGGAAAAAAAAUCGCUAUAAAAUGAUUUUUUCUUUCUCAUUCUGAGCAUUGCAUAAAGCAAAACCAAUUCACAGCCACUAAAGGAUAUUCUCAAAGAGAAAUCUCAAGUCAUUUUCAGCUCCAGGCCCGGGAGACCUCAUUAUACUGCCAUUACAAACAGACCUGCAGCAAGUUGUUUAUGCCUUUCUGCUAGUGAGUUAAGCAAAUGGCACAGGGAUUGUUAUGCAGAUACAUUAACUAGUUGCUGGCACUUAGACAAAUAUGCCCAGUGUACCUCAUUUUAUGGAAUUAAUGCAUUUUUUGAAUGACUGAGUUCUCAUUUAAUUGUGUCUUUAAAGUUUUACACCAGUGAGCCUCAAAGGACACGCUCCCUGAGCAGGUUUAUCAGAAUCACUGAUGUUUACAGGUCUUUUUGAAAAUCCCCCUUUCCUACCCCACUUCUUUUCUGCUCUGUCCUUCAACAGGGAAUGGGAGUUCUCCCUGAAUCACUUCCACAGAGAGUAAGAAUCUUGGUCUUCUUUGGAGAUUAAGGCUUCAGAAACGUUGGAGUGGAGAUAAGGUUAAGAACUGUGAAGAGACUUGCCUUUCCAGGGUUCUACAGAAUCAAGCCUGCACCUCAAUCAUGUACCACUUUCCCCUGUGCAAUGUUUGAAGUAUAGUUGAUUUACAAUUUCGUGUUCAUUUCUGCUGUACAGCGAAAGGACAUUUAUACAUCUAUAUAUAUACUUUUUCAUAUUCUUUUCCAUUAUGAUUUGUCAUACGAUAUUGAAUAUAGUUCCCUAUGCUAUACAGUAGGACCUUGUUGUUUAUACAUUCUGUACAUAAUACUUUGUACAGUCUACCAGUCCCAAAUUCCCAAACCUUUCCUCCCCAUUGGCAACUGCAAGUCUGUUCUCAAUGUUUGUGAGUCUGUUUUUGUUUCACAGAUAUGUUGAUCUGUGUCGUAUUUUAGAUUCCACAUAUAAAUUAUAUAGUAUCUGUCUUUCUCUGUCUGACUUUGCUUAGUAUUAUAAUUUCUAGGUCCAUCCAUGUUGCCACAGAUAGCAUUGUUUCACUCUUUUUAAUGGUUGAGUAAUAUUCCUGUGUGUAUGUAUCUAUACACAUGUAUGUGUAUAUAUAUUAUACACACACACACACACACAUCCCAUAUCUUCUUUAUCCAUUCAUCUGUCGAUGGAUAUUUAGGUUGUUUCCAUGUCCUGGCUAUUUUAAAUAGUGCUACUAUGAACAUAGGGGUGCAUGUACUUAUUUGACUUAUAGUUUAUCUGGGUAAAUACCCAGGAGUGAGAUUGCUAGAUCAAAUGGCAAUUCUUAGUUUUUUAAGCAACCUUUAUACUGUUUUCCACAGUGACUGUACCAAUUUACCUUCUCACCAUCAGUGUAGGAGGGUUCCCUUUCUCCACACUCUCUCUAGCAUUUGCCAUUUGUUGGCUUUUUAAUGAUGGCCCUUCUUUGACCAGUGUGAGGUAGUACCUCAUGGUAGUUUUGAUUUGCAUUUCUGAUGAAUGAAUGAUUUUAAAGAUACUGUAUUUUGAGGUAUCAAAAUGUAAUAUAGAUUAUCUCUAUAGUCCCUUAAGGGACUUAAAAUCUAAUUAGCAGAAUAAAGCAUACAUAUGUAAGGAGGAAAUACAAAUCUUGGAUUAAAACAUAACAGUUUUCUAAGGAGAACAAAUUCCAUUAAUAUGAGAAAACAUUGUAUUUGGCAGAGCAUCUUGAUGGAUUUGCAUAUGCAAGUGUAGGCCUUGAUGCGGUGAGAGGAAGGACUAAAAGGAAUUGAAUUGUUCUACCAAACAG
rnacentral:lncRNA from 1 species